AUUGAACGCUGGCGGCAUGCCUUACACAUGCAAGUCGAACGGCAGCACGGGUGCUUGCACCUGGUGGCGAGUGGCGAACGGGUGAGUAAUACAUCGGAACGUACCUUAUCGUGGGGGAUAACGCAGCGAAAGCUGUGCUAAUACCGCAUACGCCCUGAGGGGGAAAGCGGGGGAUCGAAAGACCUCGCGCGAUUAGAGCGGCCGAUGCCUGAUUAGCUUGUUGGUGGGGUAAAAGCCCACCAAGGCGACGAUCAGUAGCUGGUCUGAGAGGACGAUCAGGCACACGGGGACUGAGACACGGCCCAGACGCCUACGGGAGGCAGCAGUGGGGAAUCUUGGACAAUGGGGGCAACCCUGAUCCAGCAAUGCCGCGUGAGUGAAGAAGGCCUUCGGGUUGUAAAGCUCUUUUGUCAGGGAAGAAACACCGGCUCUAACACAGUCCGGGAAUGACGGUACCUGAAGAAUAAGCACCGGCUAACUACGUGCCAGCCGCCGCCGUAA
rnacentral:rRNA from 1 species